GCCGGGAUAGCUCAGUGGGUAAACCAAAGGACUGAAAAUCCCCGUGUCCCCAUUUCAAAUA
rnacentral:tRNA from 1 species